rnacentral:misc_RNA from 1 species
GUGGGGGGGGGGAGGGAAAAUUACAGGGCCUAUGGUUGCAAACAAAAGAGCUGAACAGGAACUCCCACCAGCAACCUGUAACUUGUUCUGUUUGCUGACAAACCUGAUUUUUACAGGAUCAGAACUAAAAGGCUCCCCGGUUAGGACAAUUUGAUGCUCUGUGCCCAGGCUGCCCACAGUUAAAACAAGCACCUCCAAAGCUUCUGUCCCGUGGUGACGGCCUACUUGAUCUUCUACCACUAAUCAGCCAAUCAUCGCUGCUCCUGCUUCUUGAAUAGCUUCGAAGACCAUGUGGUCCACGCCUAUAUGUAUCUUCAGCAUCAUCAGAAAAAUCUCGACCACCGCCCCAACCCCGGGAAGCUCUAAAACCUCUCUGGCCUCCCCUACUGCCUCCUCUAGCACCUCGAUCCCUGCUAGAAAACCUGCCAUAGUAAUCACUAGGAG